GUUGCUUUUGACAGCCUGUCCUUCCUGCUAGGGAUUCACCUGUGGGAAAUCUCUGGAGAGGGCAAAGACAGCCACACCUAUUUUACACACUGGGAAACUGAGGCAAAGCCACCAAUGCCACUUACCUCUGCAGAAAGCAAAACGGGACACACAGAGAGGACUUUUUCCGUCCUGUGGUUGGGAUGCUUCUAUUGCACUUUCAGUGCUCAUGGCCAACACCAUCCUCCUGACUCCUCAUCUCACAAGAAUGGAAGACUGACAUUCCAGACGAAUCCUUUUCCCUCACCUCAGUGCCUACAGAAAAUGGCCACAUUGUUGCAGCCCACAACAGUCCCGGAACUGGUGGAGAUGUGUAGGCUUUAAUUUCAGACUUUUUUUGGUUAUAUAACUAGAAGAAAAACAAAACAAUCAACUGCAUUUGGGAAGACUGGCUUUGAAUAAAAAUUCCAAGUACGAUA